rnacentral:lncRNA from 1 species
AAAAAAGAUUGCAACGAAGAGGGCUAGAGAUUACAGCAAUUAAACAAACGACGGGACAGGUUCAAUUUCUGUACAGAGCGAGAACUAGUCAAGAGCCAAUUAAAUAACAUGAGUGGCCAUUUAUGUAUACGGUUCAAAGAUCAGGAGAAACGACAAGGACCUUAGAUUGUAACUUCCACGUCGUAGUUGUGUGAACGAGAAGCAUCUCUUCCCAGGCUGAGGCCACCCCACAACAAUGAGCCACUGACAAUCAAUACCCUUCGGUCCUCAGUUGACAUGUACUACAAUAACAUAGCCUUCGCUGCCUGCAAACCAAGAAAUGUCGAGCAACAACGCAUAGUCAGAGAAACUUCGAUCAAUUUCUUCCUCUCUACUUGCACAUUUGCCUUUCAUUUAACAUGGAAGUAGUACUGAUUUUUGCCAUGCCAUGGGGAACAUUCUGCAGUUUGUCGUCCUUUUAAAACUAGCUGUUAAAAAUAAGUGUUAUAAUCAACACGAGUAGUAAGAUAUUCAUUUUCCAGAACUUCUCAUCUCUAUACUACACAAGUCAUCUUCAACCAAAUUUCAGGCGAUACGCGGUAAUUUAGAUAGCAAUUGUUCCAAUAUGCACAGAAUAAAAACUACUUUCCUUCAGAUUUUCAGAUUGAUUAAAAUAACACAUUAGUGCCUCCUGUUUUGCAGUCUUAGCAUCAAGUUACACCACCUUUUCUAGUUAGUAGAGAAGCUGGGGUCAAAGGUUACAAAUCCAUG